CACGUAGGGCGCAAGCGUUGUCCGGAAUUAUUGGGCGUAAAGAGCUCGUAGGCGGUCUGUUACGUCUGCUGUGAAAACCCAGGGCUUAACCCUGGGCUUGCAGUGGAUACGGGCAGACUAGAGGCAGGUAGGGGAGAAUGGAAUUCCCGGUGUAGCGGUGAAAUGCGCAGAUAUCAGGAAGAACACCCGUGGCGAAGGCGGUUCUCUGGGACGGUACUGACGCUGAGACGCGAAAGCGUGGGGAGCGAACAGG
rnacentral:rRNA from 1 species